GAUGAACGCUGGCGGCGUGCUUAACACAUGCAAGUCGAGCGAUGAAGCCCAGCUUUCUGUGUGGUUUCGUUGCGAACGGGCGAGUGACUCGUGAGUAACCUGCCCUUAUCUCUGGGAUAAGUCUGUUCAACUAGGCCUAGUACCUGCUAGGUGCUCCUACCGCAUGGUUGGUGUUGGAAUGAUAUAUCGGUUUUGGAUGGACUCGCGGUCGAUCAGCUCGUUAGUGGGGUAAUGGCACACCAAGGCCAUGACGGGUAGCCGGCCUGGGACGGUCACCGGCCACCAGGGGACUGCGGCACGGACCAGUAUCCUAUGGGAGGCAGCGGGCGGGAACAUUGCGGAGUGGGGGAAAGUGUGAGGCAGCGGUGCCGCGUGCGGGAUGACGGCCUACGGGUUGUAAACCUAUUUCAGUAGGGAAGUAGAGAACGUGACGGUACCUGCACAAGAAGCACCGGCUAACUACGUG
rnacentral:rRNA from 1 species